rnacentral:rRNA from 1 species
UACGUAGGGGGCGAGCGUUGUCCGAAGUUACUGGGCGUAAAGCGCGUGUAGGCGGGUCUUUAAGUGAGUGGUGAAAGGUUUGGGCUUAACCCAGACACUGCCUUUCAUACUGGAGACCUUGAGUGCGGGAGAGGCGAGUGGAAUGGUCGGUGUAGCGGUGAAAUGCGUAGAUAUCGAUCGGAACACCCAUGGCGAAGGCAGCUCGCUGGCCUGUAACUGACGCUGAGACGCGAAAGCGUGGGGAGCAAACAGG